UUAAAAAUGCUAACGACGAGAAAAAAGUAAUCAUUAAUGGAGUUGAAUCUUCCGUCAGAGUUUUGGAAGGUGAAGAAGAAGAGAAUUAUUGGAAAACAUUACGUUUAGAUCUGCAAAAAAGAAAAGGCGUUAAAAAUAAUAGAGGAAGAAGAAACAACCGUGGUGGUGGAGGCGAUCGUCGAGGCGGCGGUAGAGAUUCAAAAUUUCAAGGUAAGAGAAAACGACCUUGGGUGGAAAAAACUGAUGACAAUGCCUCCACUGGUGAAUCAAAAGAAAAUGCUGAGAAAACCGAAAAAUUGUCGAAACUGGACUCUGAAAACUAAUUGUUGAAAUUUUUCUACCAUUGUAUUAUUUAAAAGGAUGUAAAUAUGAAACAGGCAAAUUUUUACAAGA
rnacentral:lncRNA from 1 species